AGCUGUAGGAGCCUUUAAAUCCGGACACGCCGUUGUACUCGCGAGCCAUCCAGUCGUCACCUUCCUACCUGUUCUAACAACUAAUACCAGAAGUGUUAGUCUUAAGAUGUUCAAUUUCUCUUGUACUGCCUGUCUAACAUACACAGGCAACCACGUUCCAGAUUCGGUGGAUGCUAAAGUGACAAUGCAAGUUGAUUUGUCCUUCGGUAGAGCUAAUUUCAUCUCGAAGGAGUUCAACAAAGCCAACACUUACACUUAUAAUGUUACACUACACCGUGGGACGAAUUGGUGUAAAGAUUUGAUGGUUCAAAAUAAACAGCGUGCUUCAGGUAGAACACAGCCAUUAAUUUUGGCUAUGAUAUAUGAACUAGCUAAUGAUCCAAUUAAAGAUACUACAGGUAAGUCGAAUUAUUAAACUUAUACUUUCUUGAGUGAAUAGUUUAUUAUACUAUAUAAUU